GUAACCUUUUGCUCGGUUGGUGUGUUCGAGAAACAUAAGUUUCCAAUACAUUUUUACUUCAGUAUCGUGGCCUUAUAAUGACUAAAAGAUCGAUGAAACCCAGGACAUAUUCUUAUGAGAAAGCGUAUGAUAAACAAUGCAAUAAAGGGGGAUAUCAGAAACAAUGCAGAGAUGAAAAUAGUUCUUGAACAUGGAAAACCCCAUCUCUGCCUGUUUGCCACCAAAGACAUAGCUGUAAAUGAGGAGCUGCGGUUCGAUUACGGAGUGCCAAAUUUACCAUGGAGAAAGGCUGGUGAAGACCUUGUCAAUCACGAGGGAAACGCCAUAACAAAUGUGGAGUCACAGAAAGAUACUACUAGUUUGCCUGUGGAUUAACGGAACAACACCUUGGCUGAUCAAGACAUUAUCCACAAAUUAGAAAAUGACGCCAGACCUGUGGAUCAGUGCCAAGCCAAAGUUGAAGUUAGUUCAACAUUAAAACACUUUUAGUGAUAUCGGAAGAGUAUGAUAUUUUACAGAAAAUGUAACCUGUGGAUCAGUGCCAAGCCAAAGUUGAAGUUAGUUCCACAUUAAUACACUUAGUGAUAUCAGUAGAGUAUGAUAUUUUACAGAAAAUGUUAAGUGAACACUCAUUUGUCUACCUAUUGUUUAUGAGAUGGCAGUACAUGUCACAGAAGACACAUUAAGUUUGGGUUCAUCAUAUUAUCUUAAUAUUAUAUAUUGUGAUGGCAUAUGUUGCACUGGCAGCUGAUGUAUACCCAUCUUAUUUAAUGAUUUGUUAUGAG